GAAACUGUGGAAUGGUGAAGCUGCUCCCUCCGUCCCGAACUAUCAGACCAGCGGACAGCCACUGCUUCUGUGGCAAACAACCCUUCAAGUUCGGACUCGACCGAAGCGGCGCCGAACCGAGACACUUUCUUGGUGACGAUCGCAAGAGCAACAGGUCCGGGCUCUCUCGCUUAAUCUGUACGGCAUGGACGCUCUAAGCCAAGACAAAUUGAAGAUAAUAUUUUUUGCAGAGGAAUAAACGUUGCAGUAGCCGGUACAUGAAAUAACCCGUAGACCGAACGGUAACGCUAGUCGCCUGGUGAGGUUUCUGCAAUCGUCUGAGGGAGGCGUGCCUUCCGAGUCCCCUGAGGAGCGAGGAGUCCCUUGGGUGCUGACGUGUGAUCGCUGACAUGGGCCUGAACUUCGCGGGCUGUAGUAAUACUGUUGUGACUCCCUCGAAUAUGAAACUAUCGGGACAGCAGCUACCAUCGCCAAAACAGUCCGGCGUAGCUCGACACGCUCUCGCUCUCAGGGGGUCAGCAGGUCGCCCUUUCUCGAGCUUUGUUCCUGUAGGAGGGAUACCCAUCCCCUGGGCAUGUGAGGAUUGACCAGGGAAGAUCCCCGCCGUGGGCUGGCUAGUCCGCAAGGCAUACGUAUGUAGAGAACUUUGUAUUAUUUCAUGACAAUAAAAUGAGCGAGACUCUCCCCCA